rnacentral:rRNA from 1 species
UCGAGCGGAGUAAGGUGAAACUUGUUUCACCUAGCUUAGCGGCGGACGGGUGAGUAACACGUAGGUAACCUGCCCAUAAGACUGGGAUAACUACCGGAAACGGUAGCUAAUACCGGAUAGGUUCUUCUCUCGCAUGGGAGGGGAAAGAAAGACGGAGCAAUCUGUCACUUAUGGAUGGACCUGCGGCGCAUUAUCUAGUUGGUGAGGUAACGGCUCACCAAGGCGACAAUGCGUAGCCGACCUGAGAGGGUGAUCGGCCACACUGGGACUGAGACACGGCCCAAACUCCUACGGGAGGCAGCAGUAGGGAAUCUUCCGCAAUGGGCGAAAGCCUGACGGAGCAACGCCGCGUGAGUGAUGAAGGUUUUCGGAUCGUAAAGCUCUGUUGCCAGGGAAAAACGUCUCUUAAAGUAACUGCUAAAAGAGUGACGGUACCUGAGAAAAAAGCCCCGGCUAACUACGUGCCACCAGCCGCGGUAAUACGUAUGGGGCAAGCGUUGUCCGGAAUUAUUGGGCGUAAAGCGCGCGCAGGCGGUCAUUUAAGUUGGGUGUUUAACCCCAGGGCUCAACCCUGGGUCGCACCCAAAACUGGAUGACUUGAGUGCAUACAA